UCUUUUCUCUCACUCAUCGCUUUUCAUCAGCGUGCCUGAUAAGGUUUUCACGUUCCCUCCUUUUUUUUCUCUUACUCCGUCGUUUUUCAUCAGCGUGGCCUGAAAACGGUUCGCGCAUCUGUUCCUCUACUUUAGCGUCAUUCAUUCAUUGUUCGCAAGCCUCGUGCACUGGUUUAGAACUCUGUUCGAGUACUAGGUUUAGAUCCCCGUUCGUGCACUGGUUUUAGGAGUCCUUUUCAUUCGUAAUAACAUCAUUGCGGAGGCAAACCCUAAGGGAGAACCCAAUGCUUUGUUCUUUCCUUUUCCAAUUGUUAAUUUUAAACAUGAUUCAAUGCUCAUUUCUAAUUUUGAUUCUCACAUUUCCAUUGUGCAGGUAACUGCGAGGUUACUUUCGAGGCCACUCGUUUCACCUGUAACUCCGACUCAAACGCCGUCGUAAUCUCGCUUCCCGGAAGCGGAAAGGUCAAAGUGUCAGUUGUUGAAAAUCACGAGAACGCUUCUGAGGUUUCAAGGUGAGAAGAAUAUGAGGUUCAUGGAGUUACUUUUAGGGUUCAAAAUUUUAAUUGAGGGGUAUGAAGAAGGCCUAUAUAAGGGAGAUCAAUUGAGGAAGAAAGACACACAAAAAGCAAGCAAUUUUUGAAACCUAAAAGUGAGGGUUUUAGUUGAGCGAGAGACGCGGAGUUGCGGAGCUAGGUAGGGGAGGUUGCGACGUGAAGAAGAGAAAUUUUCCAGGACUUCCAGAAAGAAAUUGUCAAAGCAGCCAAAACUUUUACAACUAUAGGUUACAAGCAUAUUGAAACAGAUGAAAAUUGAUUUUUGCUUCUUUUUUCCUGCAAAUUCAGUAUACUUUGAGGAGUAAUAUUUUCAGGAAUUAGAAGCACCUAGAAAUUUUGUUUAUGGAUUUAUGAUUUGAUUAAACCCUCAAACAAUACCCAUGGUAGACUGGAACAAAGCUUUCUGAAGAUUGCUAUAAAUAUGGAGCAGAGAACAACAGUGAGAAUAUAUUAGCUAAGGUUGCAUCUGUAUAUGGUGAUGCCCGGAAGCUUGUAGAAAAGGAGCAUGAAGAGUUAAAUCAGCUUCUAUCUACUUAGGUGGACUUUUCUUUUGUUGAUCACAUGUAUAAGUUUUAAUGCAAAUUCAGAACGAGAGAAUCUAUUAAAUUAUUAGUUUUAUCAUUUAGCCGCAUUUGAAUUUAUAAGUAUUCGAAAAGUUGUGUACAAGUGUUUCAUA